CAUAUUAAAGUUUGAUUCUGGCUAAUGAGAAAAACGGGGGCGUGCUUAUUACAUGCAAGUCGAACGGGCCUGCCUUCACUUUUGGGGGUGGGUUGAGUGGCGAACGGGUGAGUAUCACGUGAGUAACCUGCCCUUCGGUCCUGGAUAACCGCUUCUCAGGGCGGCUAAUACGGGGUGGUCCGGUUGGUCCGCAUGGGCUGGUCGGGAUAGAUUCACUGUUUUUGGUGUUUCGGCGGGGGAUGGGCUCGCGGCCUAUCAGCUUGUUGGUGGGGUGAUGGCCUACCAAGGCGGUGACGGGUAGCCGGCCUGAGAGGGUGGGCGGCCACACUGGGACUGAGAUACGGCCCAGACUCCUGCGGGAGGCAGCAGUGGGGGGUAUUGCACAAUGGGCGGAAUCUUGAUGCAGCGACGUCGCGUGAGGGAUGGAGGCCUUCCCUUUGUGAACCUCUGUUUCCUUUGUUGAACGCCCUGCA
rnacentral:rRNA from 1 species